rnacentral:lncRNA from 10 species
CUGCCCUCAGGUUCAUUGCGCAUGCGUCCGGCAGCGCCUGCCCAGGCUGCUCCUGCCCUUGGGCGAAUCCGCUGCGUCCCACGGUCCUGACUGUGGCAUUUCUGCGUGUCUGGAGAGCUCCCCCGGCAGCGACGUCCUGCUUAGCACGUGGCUCGUCUAACUCUGUUCCCCUGGCCUCCUGCUCUUCUAGGGGUCAUCUUUAGGUUUCUGCUGGUCUCUGCCCCCUGUGACACUUGCUGGUACCCAAAUGAAGUCGUUUAUGUCACACUCUAACAAGAGGCCCUGAAGAAGCCCUCACAAAAACAUUAGCAACGGAGCGCCUGCGGCAAACCCUUCUAACCUUUGGUCUUUAUGGUUUCAAAGCAGUUUAUGGGAACUUCUCUUUUUUAAAAGAUUCCCCUUGGGGCCAGGCGCGGUGGCUUCUGUAAUCCCAGGACUUUGGGAGGCCGAGGCAGGUGGAUCACUUGAGGUCAGGAGUUCAAGACUAGCCUGGCCAACAUGGUGAGACACCCGUCUCUACAAAAAACACAAAAAAAUUAGCAGGGCAUGGUUGGUGGCAGGCACCUGUAGUCCCAGCUACACGGGAGGCUUAGGCAGGAGAAUUCCUUGAACCCAGGAGGUGGAGGUUGCAGUGAGCCGAGAUGGCACCACUGCACUCCAGCCU